rnacentral:misc_RNA from 1 species
CCCAUAAACCGUGGCUCAGUUCAGAUCGUAGGCUGCAACUCGCCUACGUGAAGGCGGAAUCGCUAGUAAUCGCAGGUCAGCAUACUGCGGUGAAUACGUUCCCGGGCCUUGUACACACCGCCCGUCACACCAUGGAAGUUGGCCACGCCCGAAGCCGUCACUCCAACCCUUGUGGAGGAGGACGUCGAAGGUGGGGCUGAUGACUGGGGUGAAGUCGUAACAAGGUAUCCGUACCGGAAGGUGCGGAUGGAUCACCUCCUAACAGGGAGACAACACAAUGAUUUUGAUGCCUGAGUGCUUUUAUUCUUAGGCCGAAAUCCUGUCACCUUAGGUCGAUCGGUACCUCAGCUUUGAAGUUAAGGAUCAGCAGCAAUGUUGAUUGCUUGAUGGAGAUUUUCAGUUCCUAAACUUUGUCUAGGUCACACCCCAAAAGGGAUGAGACUCCUGGGCCAUUAGCUCAGGUGGUUAGAGCGCACCCCUGAUAAGGGUGAGGUCCCUGGUUCAAGUCCAGGAUGGCCCAUUCGGUGUUGGGGGUUUAGCUCAGUUGGUAGAGCGCCUGCUUUGCAAGCAGGAUGUCAGGAGUUCGAGUCUCCUAACCUCCACUGACCGAACUUGAUUCCCAUCUCCAAUUUUUUGGAGUUGAGCUCGAUUGGAGUGUGAUUUAGAUGUGUCCGCUGGAUGACCCCAGCUUCCUGUCAUUCCAAGUUUUAGGUUGAUGCCUUGAAUUUGGUUGAUAAGAUGCUGGGCUCG